AGAGUUUGAUCAUGGCUCAGAUUGAACGCUGGCGGCAGGCCUAACACAUGCAAGUCGAGCGGAAACGAUCCUAGCUUGCUAGGAGGCGUCGAGCGGCGGACGGGUGAGUAACGCGUGAGAAUCUACCCAUGAGUGGGGGACAACCCGGGGAAACUCGGGCUAAUACCGCAUACGCCCUACGGAGUAAAGCAGGGGACCUUCGGGCCUUGCGCUGAUGGAUGAGCUCGCGUCGGAUUAGCUUGUUGGUGAGGUAAAGGCUCACCAAGGCGACGAUCCGUAGCUGGUCUGAGAGGAUGAUCAGCCACACCGGGACUGAGACACGGCCCAGACUCCUACGGGAGGCAGCAGUGGGGAAUCUUGGACAAUGGGGGCAACCCUGAUCCAGCCAUGCCGCGUGUGUGAAGAAGGCCUUCGGGUUGUAAAGCACUUUCAGCAGGGAGGAAGGCUUACCCCUAAUACGGGUGAGUACUUGACGUUACCUGCAGAAGAAGCACCGGCUAAUUUCGUGCCAGCAGCCGCGGUAAUACGAAAGGUGCAAGCGUUAAUCGGAAUUACUGGGCGUAAAGCGCGCGUAGGCGGUGUGUUAAGUCGGAUGUGAAAGCCCAGGGCUCAACCUUGGAAUUGCAUCCGAUACUGGCACGCUAGAGUGCAGUAGAGGGAGGUGGAAUUUCCGGUGUAGCGGUGAAAUGCGUAGAGAUCGGAAGGAACACCAGUGGCGAAGGCGGCCUCCUGGACUGACACUGACGCUGAGGUGCGAAAGCGUG
rnacentral:rRNA from 1 species